rnacentral:rRNA from 1 species
AUGAUCCUUGGCGACUUUAAUGAAAUCACCAACAUGAGUGAAAAGGAAGGUGGUAAUAACCGGCCUGAUCACUAUAUGCGGGACUUUAGAGACUGUAUUGAUGACUGUGGGUUACAGGAAGUAAUGGUGAUAGGAGAUACAUUCACAUGGAGUCGUGGACCGAUCAGAGAGCGACUUGACAGGGCUCUAUGUAAUGAAAUGUGGGCAGAAAAAUUUCCUUUUGCAGGACUGGUACACGAACACCAUACCCACUCUGACCAUAGGCCUAUUCUGCUCGAUACGGAGUAUUUCAAACCGAUGUUGAUGCAGCAGCAGCAGUAG